AAUCGAUGAUCCACGUUGGAUUUAACUUUACUUUUUGUUUGUAUAUCUCUGUCAUUGAAUGUUUUAUUAGAAUAUUUUCUUAAAUCAUUAAUUUGGUUAAUGUCAGGUCAAGGUGCAGUUAUAGUGAAGGUUGAAAUGGGUUACAUUUAAUGUUCAUUAAUUGGAUUAUUUUUAUUGGAAUUAAUGUCUAUGAAAUAGGAUUUGAUAGUAAUUAUUAUUAUUUUAUUGUAAUGAUUAUGGCUCUAAAUUAUGCACACAUCGCCCGUCACUCUCAUUUA
rnacentral:rRNA from 1 species